UACACUCCUACGGGAGGCAGCAGUGAGGAAUAUUGGACAAUGGGUGGAAGCCUGAUCCAGCCAUCCCGCGUGCAGGAAGACGGCCCUAUGGGUUGUAAACUGCUUUUAUCUGGGGAUAAACCUACUUACGUGUAAGUAGCUGAAGGUACCAGAAGAAUAAGCACCGGCUAACUCCGUGCCAGCAGCCGCGGUACUACGGAGGGUGCAAGCGUUAUCCGGAUUUAUUGGGUUUAAAGGGUCCGUAGGCGGACUGAUAAGUCAGUGGUGAAAUCCGACAGCUUAACUGUCGAACUGCCAUUGAUACUGUUAGUCUUGAGUAAGGUUGAAGUGGCUGGAAUAAGUAGUGUAGCGGUGAAAUGCAUAGAUAUUACGUAGAACACCAAUUGCGAAGGCAGGUCACUAAGUCUUAACUGACGCUGAUGGACGAAAGCGUGGGGAGCGAACAGGAUUAGAAACCCUGGUAGUCCC
rnacentral:rRNA from 1 species